UUUAAAGUUAAUUCUAGCUUUGAUAUUUAUUAUUUAUUUAAUUUAAUUUUAUAUAAAUUUUUGUAAUAUUUUUAAUAAUUUUUAAAAAAUUAUUUUUUAAUAAAAUAUAAAAUAUAAAAUUAAAAAUUAAAGAAAUUUAGAUUUAGUAAUAUAAAAAUUAUUGAUAAAAUUUGUGCCAGCAAUCGCGGUUAUACCAAUAAUAUAAUAAAUAUUAUUUAUUAUAAUUAAUAUGAUUAGUUAUUUAAAAUAAAAAUUUAAUUUAUAAGGUAAAAUAUUUAAAUUAAAAUAAAUUUUAAUUUAAAAUUAAUAUGAGGUUAAUAAAUAUAAAAUUAAACUAGGAUUAGAUACCCUAUUAUAAAAUUAAAACAAUGAAAUAAGUAGUAAUAGAUAAAUUCUUGAAACUUAAAGAAUAUGGCAGUAUUUUAUUCUAUUUAGAGGAACCUGUUUAUUAAUUGAUAAUCCACAAUUUAUUUUACUUAAUUUUAUUUAAUUUGUAUAUCGUUGUUAUAAAAAUAUUUUUUAGAAAUAAAAAUUUUAGAUUUUUUAAAUAAAAUUAUAUCAAAUCAAGAUGCAAUUUAUAAUUAAGAAUUUAAUGGGUUAUAAUAAAUUAAUUUUUGAAUUAAUAUAAUGAAAAAUAAAUUUGAAAUUAGAUUUAAAAGUAAUUUAAAUUAAUUAAUUUAAAUGAUGUAAGUUCUAAAAUAUGUACAUAUUGCCCGUCACUUUCAUUUUAAAUUGAAAUAAGUCGUAACAUAGUAGAAGUACUGGAAAGUGUUUCUAGAAAGAU
rnacentral:ncRNA from 1 species